GACCGCGUAGCUCAGUUGGAGGAGCAUUGGGCUAGUAUUCCAAAGGUCGUAGGUUCGAAUCCCGCCGUGGCCA
rnacentral:tRNA from 1 species